rnacentral:rRNA from 1 species
CCCACUAUGCUUAGAAGUAAACCAAGGCAGCAACCCAGCCCCCUGCCCGCCAGAGAACUACAAGCGAAAAGCUUAAAACUCAAAGGACUUGACGGCAUUCCACAUCACACUAGAGGAGCCUGUCCUAUAAUCGAUAACCCACGUUUAACCUCACCUGUUCUCGCACAAGCCAGCCUAUAUACCGCCGUCUCCAGCCCGCCUUACAAAAGCACCCCAGCGAGCAAAACAGCAAAGCACUAACACGUCAGGUCAAGGUGUAGCUAAUGAACAGGCAGAGAUGGGCUACAUUUUCUUAAACAAAAGAAAACCAACUACCCGCACCAUGAAAUAAGUGCACAAAGGAGGAUUUAGCAGUAAGCUGCGCAAGCAUGCGCAACUGAACUCCGCCCUGGAAUGUGUACAC